UCGAGAAUUUUUCACAAUGGGGGAAACCCUGAUGGAGCGACGCCGCGUGGAGGAUGAAGGUCUUCGGGUUGUAAACUCCUGUCAUGCGGGAACAAGCAAGUGAUAGUACCGCAAGAGGAAGAGACGGCUAACUCUGUGCCAGCAGCCGCGGUAAUACAGAGGUCUCAAGCGUUGUUCGGAUUCAUUGGGCGUAGAGGGUGCGUAGGUGGUGGCGCAAGUCUGGUGUGAAAUCUCGGAGCUUAACUCCGAAAUUGCACCGGAUACUGCGUGACUCGAGGACUGUAGAGGAGAUCGGAAUUCACGGUGUAGCAGUGAAAUGCGUAGAUAUCGUGAGGAAGACCAGUUGCGAAGGCGGAUCUCUGGGCAGUUCCUGACACUGAGGCACGAAGGCCAGGGGAGCAAACGGGAUUAGAUACCCCGGUAGUCCUGGCAGUAAACGGUGCACGUUUGGUGUGGGCGAGUUCAGACCCCGUCCGUGCCGGAG
rnacentral:rRNA from 1 species